GGUGAUGAUUCUAACUUCUCUAUAUAAGUGUGGAUAACCCUCCCCCUUAUGAUGCCUUUUAAGGGGUGAGUGGCCCAUUUCUAAUAGAACUUGCAGGGCAGCAGGGAUGAGGACGAUCUUCUCCUUGACAACAUGCCUGAUGAUGAUGACUACAACACCGAUGAUUCUUUCAAUCAUGAUAUUGAGUUGAGGAAUCUCCAAGUAUUACAAACUUGAGAAUGCCUUUGGAGAGUUGGAGAAGAUAGUUGCACGAUAUCCUCGGGAUCCCGUUAAUCAAUCUCACUCGCGCAAAAAGAGAUUGCCUUCAGAAAUAAAACUGGAGCUUGCUAAAGUGGCUAGAAUAGUGAGCUCCUGCUAUAGACGGAUUCGAGGAUAUGUUCAGCCGCCUAAUGAGCAUUUUGGGCCACUUGAUGAAGAUUACAACACUGAAUAAGUUUGUCGAGGUGGAACGCUAUGUCUUGGCUGAGACAAUCCAAAUUGUUAAAGACCUGUAUUCCAAAUGAACUCCACUUCUGAGAUGCACGAUGUAGAUGUAGAUAUUUGUUGUGGAACUAUCUUCUUUAGUACCAACAACUGAAGCACUUUUCCUGAACCUUAAAUUUAUAUGGUCAUCUAAAGUUAUGUUUUCCUAUCAAGAUAGACUAGUUCACAAUGUUUAUAUUUGCGGACUGAAGACAUUAUUUAAGCAAUUUCAAAAGAUCAGCCUGGUGGAGUGAAUUGAUUGUGGAAGACAUGAAUCCGACGGGCCAAAUGAGGUCGGUUGAGGUCAGCGGCAGCCGGGUGAGGUUUAUGGUGGAGAUGAAUCCCCGGGAGACCACGAUUGUUUCUUGGAAAAAGCUUCUCAAAGAGGCCAAUUUGAGUGGCGUUACUUGCUUCUGCAUUGGGGCCAAGAGUGGCUGCAGCCUGUUCCCAUGCAUCUUUGGGUUCAUUGUCUAAGGAGAGUAGCAAAGAAGGGAGUCCCGGAAGUAUGUGUAGCUAAUCUUUUGUUGGCUUUUAAUUACUCAUAUUAAUACAGCAGCCAUGAAGGCAAAGCUUUUUGCUGAUCACGAAGAGCGUAAAAUCCAGCGGUUAUCUGCUAAUAUUAUUAACCAUCAGGUACUAUCCUUGCAAUGAUUAUGUAGAAUCUUAUGGUUAGUUUUGCUGAAAGCUUUGGUUAUGCACUCAUGCUAGGUUGAAAGCUUUAGAUGCUCUACUCAGCUCAUAUUGAUUGCAAUGCCAUCUUCCAUUGCUUAAGAAAUUAAAACUACUUCUUUCGUCUUGCUUCGGCUCAACUUCUAUUCCUGCCGCAAUAUUCCUUAUAUUUAGGCCAAUUUGUUUUCUUCAUUCCAAAAUUGGCACUUCUAUCAUGGGUGUUGGUCUCAUGAUGCAAUGUAUGUUGACAUGUGGUACUGCAACGAUUUAUCUUUCAUUUAAAGAGAUUGGAGCUAAAGCUGAAGCAGUUUGCAGAAAUUGAAACAUUCCUAAUGAGAGAAUGUGAGCAGAUGGAAAGGACCAGGCAGAGGAUUUCUGCUGAACGGGCCCUCGUGAUGUCGGGGCAGUUUAGUUCUGCUGGGGUGCAACGGCCAAUGGGGCUGCCAGGUGUCAGUAAUUGUAAUUCUGUUAUGAACAAUUAUGCAGGAAAUAGACAGCAUGUUCAAGGCUCCCAACAACCUUUCGUUUCUGUAUACGGAAAUAACCAACCCAUACAUCCCCACAUGUCCCUGAUGCAACAGCAACAGCAACAGCAACAGCAACAACAAAAGGGGGGUAUCCUGUAUCCCCUGGUGCAGCUUGGAUGUGCAAACCUGACUUUCUCUACGGAGAAUGGAUCAACUGCUUGGAUAUGAAAAGAUUUGAGAUUUGAACUACUAAUUGAUUGUGACCAUAUUACUAAUUAGAUGAGGAAAGGCAAGUGGUAUAUUAGGAUUGUACUACUAUUCAGCUGUACAGAUUAUGAAAAUUGCAUGAAUCAAUGAAAUUGCAUUUGAUGGGUUUUAAA